CCUACGGGAGGCAGCAGUGAGGAAUAUUGGUCAAUGGGCUUACGCCUGAACCAGCCAAGUCGCGUGAGGGAAGACUGCCCUAUGGGUUGUAAACCUCUUUUGUCAGGGAGCAACGCCGGCUACGUGUAGCCGGACUGAGAGUACCUGAAGAAAAAGCAUCGGCUAACCCCGUGCCAGCAGCCGCGGUAAUACGGAGGAUGCGAGCGUUAUCCGGAUUUAUUGGGUUUAAGGGGUGGGUAGGCGGAAUGCCAAGUCAGCGGUAAAAUCGCGGGGCUCAACCUCGCUCCGCCGUUGAAACUGGCGGUCUUGAGUGGGCGAGAAGUAGGCGGAAUGCGUGGUGUAGCGGUGAAAUGCAUAGAUAUCACGCAGAACUCCGAUUGCGAAGGCAGCAUACCGGCGCCCAACUGACGCUGAAGCACGAAAGCGUGGGUAUCGAACAGGAUUAGAUACCCGGGUAGUC
rnacentral:rRNA from 1 species